rnacentral:rRNA from 1 species
CGUCUAUAUACGUAUAGCAUAUCAAUAAGCGGAGGAAAAGAAACUAACUAGGAUUCCCUCAGUAACGGCGAGUGAAGCGGGAAGAGCUCAAAUUUGAAAUCUUCAAGGUUCUACCUUGACGAAUUGUAGUUUAAAGAAGUGUUUUCUGUUGGAGUUUUGGUAAAAGUUCUUUGGAAUAGGACAUCAUAGAGGGUGAGAAUCCCGUAUUUGACCACUAUUUCCAACUUUGUGAUACACUUUCAAAGAGUCGGAUUGUUUGGGAAUGCAGUCCAAAAUGGGUGGUAAAUUUCAUCUAAAGCUAAAUACUGGCGAGAGACCGAUAGCGAACAAGUACCGUGAGGGAAAGAUGAAAAGAACUUUGAAAAGAGAGUUAAACAGUACGUGAAAUUGUCAAAAGGGAAGCGUUUGACACCAGUGUUGUUUUCUCGAAAAUCAAUUAAAAAUGGUGGGAUUUUGUGUUGUAUUGACUUUAUCAGCUUUCUGCACUUUUUUCCUGUCUUUUUUAAUGCACUUUUCGUUUAACAAGUCAACAUCAAUUUCUUUUGUUGUAAAAGGGUCAUUGGAAGGUGGCUUUCUUUUCGGAGAAAGUGUUUAUAGCCUUUGACUUCUGCAAUCGGAGAGAUUGAGGUCUGCAGCGUAGAUCCUUCGGGGUUAGAUACAUUUGUGCUAAGCUAUAGCCUUUCAUAGACAACUUGUUGACUAUGAUCAGUCAUGUAGCUUACUCGCUUAUGUUAUUUUACCUACGCUUAGGAUGUUGACGAUCAGCUGAGCGCG